rnacentral:rRNA from 1 species
UACAGAGGUCUCAAGCGUUGUUCGGAUUCAUUGGGCGUAAAGGGUGUGUAGGUGGCGCGCUAAGUCGGGUGUGAAAUUUCGGAGCUUAACUCCGAAACUGCAUUCGAUACUGGCGUGCUUGAGGACUGGAGAGGAGACUGGAAUUUACGGUGUAGCAGUGAAAUGCGUAGAUAUCGUAAGGAAGACCAGUGGCGAAGGCAGCCCCUUGGACCUGUACUGACGCUCAUGCACGAAAGCGUGGGGAGCAAACAGG